CGUCGAUGACUUUGCAAAUUCAAAACCCUAGAGAUAGAAAAUGGCGCGACAGUACCGUCGUGACGUCGUCCCCCUCUCGUUUUCAAAAUAAACCUUUUCAAAUACGCUCUUUUUCCGUCGUGAUUUCAAAUGGGCUUCUGGGCUGGACCCAAUUAAUCACCCGAUCUGGAAGCCAGGGUGGGUUGGUGUUCGUUACUCCAGAACUAUGCCUCCGAGUCUCCGACAGUUCCCUGUUCUCCCUCUGCUGCCGGAGUUAUCCUAGGUUCUUCGGCAAUCACCGAUGAGUAUGUUCCUAAUCCGAAUUUUGGAACUUUGUUCUUUUUUGUUUUCUCUGUUUUUAUUAUCAUUGAGAACUUAACAUCUGUGUGUUUUUGGGGUUUGAAAACAGAUUAGGGUUUGUUUCAACAGUUCAUAUGAUCUAUCAACAUACCAGAUAUUGCGGGUUCGAUUCAUAAAUUCAUAUCUCUCAGUUUCUUAUCCAUGCAUGCAAUUUUGUUUUUCACUGUACAACUGGAUCGAUAUAUAGAAGAUGAUCCAAUAAAAACAUAGAAAUAUAGAGUGCAGAAAAUCACACACAUUGAAAACAGCAUUUAGUUGAUUUGAAUAUUUUGUUCUUCCCUCAUUCUGCCAAUUAUGGAAAUCGAUGCAGCAUUUUCAUCUGUUGGUUUUCCCUUAAACAGUAAGAUCAUAAGGCUGCCUAUACCAAAAAAGAUGAAGCACCCAUGGUGGUGGGUCACAAACGAUCCAAAAUCUGUCCCAACUAUGCAUUGCCACCCAUAACCAUAUAUCCUGUCAAAUUCCUGCAUUAAAAACUCACUCAUUUCAAUACAAAAGAUUAAAUCCUGCCAAUAUCGAAUUUUCACCAUAUAUCCAUCCAAUAAGAAAUCAAGAAUCUAUAUUUGCAAUGUAUAUAGAACUCAGAUACAUCGAAACAAUGCACAUAAAUGACAUCUUAGAAAGACCAAAUAUAGACUCACACUGUCACACGUGGAAAACAAUCCUGGCUGGUAAGGAUAAAAUACAAACAUGUAUUGAAUGAUUCAGCAACAACAAAACUAACCAGCUAACAACACUCCCAUAUUAUGAGGUGCUCAGACAUAAUGGGAUUACACAAAAAUUCAAAAGUCUGAACACCCUGAUUAGAUUGCAAAAUAGGGGCAUAAAUCUCCAAACAAUAUGCUCUCUAUGUGGCUCUGAGGAAGAAACUAUACAACUCCUCUAGAUAUCUACUUUUAGAAAUUAACAAGCAGCUUUAACAAUGCAAUAUGGGAGAAGAGAGGCCAAACACCCGCUGUCCACAUAGUGGACAUCAGAUUAGGGGAUGUGAUGUAAAAUUGUAAAAUAUAGAAAAAUUUACACACAAAGUCAAUUGUUGGGAUACACGCUGGUUAGCCCUAGGCUCACUAUCCUGACACAUCUGGUGUGAAAGGAAUAGAAGACUUAAACAAGACACACUUAGGGCCCCAGAAUCUGUCAGCAACGAUAUACUGAGGGAUGUGAGUACUGCGUAUGCUGACACAUCCUAUAAAAAAUUCAAUCUAUAUCAGAUUGAAACACAAGGCAUAUUUUUAUGGGAUUCUAACCUCUUGAGGCAUCAAUCCAUGGCUUAAUUGCCAGGAACAUAACUGAAUAAGAGAGUGACAAUGCUACUACACGUUUUUAUAUUUUUCAUUUAUGCAUGUUUUUAAAUUUUCCUGUAUUUAUAAUUCCCCGACCCCACUUUUUCAGAAACAAAAUAUUUAAUUCAUCAAAAAUAAAAUCAAGAAUCAUUUGAUAUUACCUUCUUAAUGAAGUGUGCUAUGUCUGUGUAGUCUGUGACAUCGAAGACAUCAAGAGCCUUUCCAGCAAGCUGGAGUGCUUCUUGUUUCAUGCCAUCCAUCAUAUCAGUCUCCCCAAUAACUGCCUUGCCUUCUAGCAUAGCUUCCGACCAGAGCGAUUGGCGACGAUUAAGUGGAAAAGG
rnacentral:lncRNA from 1 species